rnacentral:rRNA from 1 species
CCUACGGGAGGCAGCAGUGGGGAAUAUUGCACAAUGGGCGCAAGCCUGAUGCAGCCAUGCCGCGUGUGUGAAGAAGGCCUUCGGGUUGUAAAGCACUUUCAGCGGGGAGGAAGGCGUUAAGGUUAAUAACCUUGGCGAUUGACGUUACCCGCAGAAGAAGCACCGGCUAACUCCGUGCCAGCGGCCGCGGUAAUACGGAGGGUGCAAGCGUUAAUCGGAAUUACUGGGCGUAAAGCGCACGCAGGCGGUCUGUCAAGUCGGAUGUGAAAUCCCCGGGCUCAACCUGGGAACUGCAUUCGAAACUGGCAGGCUAGAGUCUUGUAGAGGGGGGUAGAAUUCCAGGUGUAGCGGUGAAAUGCGUAGAGAUCUGGAGGAAUACCGGUGGCGAAGGCGGCCCCCUGGACAAAGACUGACGCUCAGGUGCGAAAGCGUGGGGAGCAAACAGGAUUAGAUACCCUGGUAGUCCACGCCGUAGACGAUGUCGAUUUGGAGGUUGUGCCCUUGAGGCGUGGCUUCCGGAGCUAACGCGUUAAAUCGACCGCCUGGGGAGUACGGCCGCAAGGUUAAAACUCAAAGGAAUUGACGG